GGCUCCAUAGUAUAACGGUAGUACGGCGGACUGUCGCUCCGCAGGUACGGGUUCAAUUCCCGCUGGGGCAG
rnacentral:tRNA from 1 species